rnacentral:rRNA from 1 species
GGAUUGCUCUAGUAACGGCGAGUGAAGCAGCAAUAGCUCAAAUUUGAAAUCUGGCGUCUUCGACGUCCGAGUUGUAAUUUGUAGAGGAUGCUUCUGAGUAACCACCGACCUAAGUUCCUUGGAACAGGACGUCAUAGAGGGUGAGAAUCCCGUAUGCGGUCGGAAAGGUGCUCUAUACGUAGCUCCUUCGACGAGUCGAGUUGUUUGGGAAUGCAGCUCUAAAUGGGAGGUAAAUUUCUUCUAAAGCUAAAUAUUGGCCAGAGACCGAUAGCGCACAAGUAGAGUGAUCGAAAGAUGAAAAGCACUUUGGAAAGAGAGUUAAAAAGCACGUGAAAUUGUUAAAAGGGAAGGGAUUGCAACCAGACUUGCUCGCGGUGUUCCGCCGGUCUUCUGACCGGUCUACUCGCCGCGUUGCAGGCCAGCAUCGUCUGGUGCCGCUGGAUAAGACUUGAGGAAUGUAGCUCCCUCGGGAGUGUUAUAGCCUCUUGUGAUGCAGCGAGCGCCGGGCGAGGUCCGCGCUUCGGCUAGGAUGCUGGCGUAAUGGUCGUAAUCCGCCCGUCUUGAAACACGGACCAAGGAGUCUAACAUCUAUGCGAGUGUUCGGGUGUCAAACCCCUACGCGUAAUGAAAGUGAACGGAGGUGAGAACCGCAAGGUGCAUCAUCGACCGAUCCUGAUGUCUUCGGAUGGAUUUGAGUAAGAGCAUAGCUGUUGGGACCCGAAAGAUGGUGAACUAUGCCUGAAUAGGGUGAAGCCAGAGGAAACUCUGGUGGAGGCUCGCAGCGGUUCUGACGUGCAAAUCGAUCGUCAAAUUUGGGUAUAGGGGCGAA